UCCUAGGGAGGCAGCAGUGGGGAAUAUUGCGCAAUGGGGGGAACCCUGACGCAGCCAUGCCGCGUGAAUGAAGAAGGCCUUCGGGUUGUAAAGUUCUUUCGGUAUUGAGGAAGGUUGAUGUGUUAAUAGUACAUCAAAUUGACGUUAAAUACAGAAGAAGCACCGGCUAACUCCGUGCCAGCAGCCGCGGUAAUACGGAGGGUGCGAGCGUUAAUCGGAAUAACUGGGCGUAAAGGGCACGCAGGCGGUUAUUUAAGUGAGGUGUGAAAGCCCCGGGGUUAAACUGGGAAUUGCAUUU
rnacentral:rRNA from 1 species